CAUCACCUCACCAGGUGUGAGCACCAGCAGGUCCCCCCAGUCCAACACUGGUCCUGGUCAGGUACAAGCACAGGGGCCUGGAUUCCCCUGAGCACUGCAGCUGGCUGGGAGCUACGUGCCAGGGCCAUGCCAGCUGUGGGAAGAUGGGUAAUUUCCAGUGAACCAUGAGGCUGGAGCAGCCCUGACAAACUCUAUCUCAUCCUGCAUCAAGCCAGCCCAUACAGUUUACUUGUCAGAAUGUUUUAAGCCCCUGUGGAUGUGCAGCAGGAGCUCCUGCUGUACCACUGCUCUGUAGCAAGGGGGUUGUGACAGCAGUGAUCCAGGCUCCAGGAGCAGCUAUUCACUGCCCUGGCAAACCAAGCUCGUGGCUCUCCUCUCAUCCAGCUCCUGGUGCUGGGGUCAGACAAAUCUGCAUCACAGCACAAAGCAAAAAGCAGCAGCAUAUUUUAACUGUGCUUGUUAAUAAACAGUAGCAGCAACCCCAUCCAGCCAAAAAGGGAGAACUCUAAGGCAGCAACAGGCUCCAGAUAGGAUUAACAGCACAUAUUCUGGAGAUGAGGUACGGGUGCAAGAGGAUGCAGUAGAGACGAGACCAGCAGUGCUUUCCUGCUACCAGCAGUGAUUCAUCCAAGAGAGCUAACUAAGUAAAGUUUUCCCAGACAAACAGAGCAAGGUUUGUUCCUGUAAGUCAUUCCAAAACAGUUGGCUUUUAGUUUUCCAUUGAGCAGCAGCCAUUUCCUAGUCUGCUCUUUCCAGGAAAACCUUUAGAAAGGUUGAGGGAGAAGAAGGAGGGAUGACAAGGGAAGGCUGUUCAAGAAUGCCUGCAAGUUAAUAAGAAGACAGUGUGGAAUGCUCUUCUAUGACAAAGUGGGAGCAUCUGAUCUUCUAAAGAUUCCACAGUACUUUCUUGCUUUAUUGAUUUUUUAAGAGGUUUGGGUAUAUUCCCAUUUGGCCAUAUUUCCAGGCAGCUGUAGUCCUUCUGGAAGGGGUCACCAAGUCCCACAUGCCCAUGCCCAAGGUGUUGGGCAGGAGGAGAGGAGAGCCACAACAGUGUUAGUGCAGUGCAAACAUCUACCAAAAGUUGAAGAAAGCCUAGAAUAACUAAAGUCAAACUUCAUUAAGUCACUCCUCAGUACAGCUGCAUUUUAUCAUCUCCCAAGGGUUGGACAGCUGCCACUGCAUGACUGCACCACCGAGUCAUCCAGCUGGAGCAUUGGCUGAGGGGAAGCUCAUCCAGGCUCAGAUACUGCAGGGACUGUGUCACUCUUGGACACUCACAACCCCAUUCCCAAUAAAGGCAUCCUCCACACUCUUCCUGGGGCACCACCAGCCACUAGGAGAGAGGAUCCCAUUCCCUCUGUCCCCAGGCAGAUUGAGGAAAGCCUGGAGUCAUCCUCUGGUUUCAUGACAAAGGACCUGGCUAGGGCUGGGAAAUGGCUGGGCAAGCCUCAACUUGAUGCCCAGACCUUGUCAGCACGUGGCCCUGCAGCCUGGGAAGCACCUCUCAUCCCCUGCAUCCAGGCCCAGGGGAUCAGGUAGGAUUUGACUGCACUGUGCAUCAAUAUUCAGCAUGAGAAACAGAAGCACAAUAUGUGUGUCCAUUUGUUUUCAUGUCUGCUCCUUUGUUUUUCCUGCCAUGUGUUCCCCUUGGAACUGCAGGCACAUUAGACUGUUUUCCAGCUCUGAGAUAGCUCUUAUUUGUAUAAAGCAAGGCAGUACAAGGAGAUACUGUCCUUUCCCAAUAACCUCUUUCACAUCUGUGCUGUUGCCCUGUAGAGGUGGAGGUGAUGGCAGAAAACAGGCUGAGUACCCACUGCUGAAAAGUGACAGGAGAGGAUGGUGGUCUGACCAGCUGAUUCCUGGUCAGACCACCCAGUUCCUGGGUAUGGCAGGGCGCUGACCUCCUAGGGGGAAAAUAUUCCUAUUACUUAAAGCAAAAAACAUGAAAUAAAUGAGCAAUUUUACCUCUUUUUUAACCUGUAAUUUUUCUGGGAAAAAUUUUUCAAAUAUACUAAAACAGAGGUAUUUCACAUCUAAUCUGUUCUUGUCCUUUAGUGCAGCCAUCUGGCACCCCCUCAAUUUCUAGAAGGUCAUUCUACUAUAAGGCUGUUUCAAAUAGCUUAAAAUUAGUUACAGAUUUAUAAACAAUUACAUAUUUAUGUAAGAUGAGGGAUUUUCCUUAAUACACAUUUAAUGAUACACUCAGAAUAUGAACUAGCUAUGGUUUGGGAUUUUGUUCAUUUUUAUGGUGUUUCUACCCAUUUAUUUUAUGGGCUCUGGGGAGUGGAGGCUAAAAUUGAGAACUUGUAAGAGGUUGUAAAAGAAAAGAACGGACCUAUUUUUCAUGGCAGUUUGAAUAGCCAGGUUGAAGAAAAGAAAAAAAAAAAAACAGCAAUGCCUUUUAUUUACAUCUUAGGCAAUUGCUUUUUCCCAGUGCUGGACUCAGAUGUGGGGACCUGUAUUUUUUCUCAUGAGUUUUUUUCCACUGCACCUCACCAAUGCAACCCAGUGCUCACCAGGUGACAGCAUCUCCUCUGUCUGCAGCCCAAGGAGGGAGGGGCUGUCAUUGUCCUCUCUUUAGGGACUGGACCAGGCAAAGGAGAGGCUGCAAACAGCCAGGGCCCCAAGCAAAAAGCCCCAAGAGCCCAGUCAUGGGGGUGCAUGGCACUGUGCCUCUCUCUGUGAGUUUAAAGCAUCACUCCUACCAACAUCUGUCAAAGCUGCAGGCACCUGGCACUUCUGUAAAUCAGAUUUUCAGGUCUUCAGCAGGCAUUCAGAGAAAAAGAAAACACAUUUAUGGGCCACCUGCAGUCAAACAUCAUGGAGGUCCAGACACAGAUUUGCACAAACCAGUUCCUUGUGACCGAUGGUCUGAGUACCCAGCAAGCCAAAAACUCCAACUCCUUCUGUGUUGUUGAUUGCAUAUCUCACAUGCACCACUUCCAGCCCCUGUUUUUACAGAAAAUGUCUUGAAAGGAGAGGAAACAGCUGGUGAAUAAUUCAUUGUGUACCCUCCCAGUUGUAUUGCAGCCUCUCCUCAACAGGCAGGGUUAUCUGUACCACCACGAGCCAUUCCCCAACGCUUCUGGAAACAAAGGCUCCCUUUCUGCAGCUGUUUAUCCAAAGGACAUGGAGAGAACUGCAGGAGGAGUUGGGGAAACAGCAGGAGUAUGGGAUCCCACCCAGUGUAAUCCCUUCUCAGGGAGCAGAGGGAUCUCUGGACAAGGAGGGCUUGGGACUCACGGUCACAUUCCAGGUUUAUCUGCCAGCUCUGCUCCCCUCACCACUAAGUCUUUUCCCAACUUGUAAUGACCCAUCAUCCCAUACCAGAGACUGCUUCUGGACUUGGUAAAAAAACAGAAGUUGUGAAGAUUGAAGAAUUAUGAAAAUUAAAGAAACAAGCAAUAGGACAAGAGGAAAUAGCUUCAAGUUGUGCCAGGAGGUUUAGACUGGAUAUGAGGAAAAAUUUCUUCACUGAAAUGGUGGUCAAGCUGCUCAGGGAAGGUACUGCACAGAACAGGCUGCCCAAGGAAGUGGUGGAGUCACUGUCCCUGGAGGUAUUUAAAAGAUAUGCAGAUGUGGCACCUGGGAUGUUUAGUGCUGGGUUAACAGACUCUGCAACUGGGUGGCACAGAGCAGCCCUGGGGAACGUGGCAAAAAGUGCACUGGCUCCAGGGAAUGCUUCUUAGGGAAAGUGGCCAUUCCCUAGGACAGGGCUGCCAACCAGGAUAACCACACUGUUCAUCUUGUGCUGAGGACCUCAUCAUCUCACUUCCAGCUCAUCCUGAACUGGUGGAAAGUUGCUAUUUCACCUCCCAGCCCAUAACUCACACAUCUAUUAGUCACUGACAACCGAUUAUAUUUUUUGCCAUCACAUGCAAUGCUGUAGAUGUUCUCAGAGUCCAGCUUGGGGACUAUUUCUCCAUUAUGUCCUUUAGAUGUCAUUUUUAAAAAAUACUCUAAUCAGCUAGCUGCCCCAAUUGGCUUGCAGCAUGGAGUGAGACCAGGGAGAGGUUUGCAAGUCAUUUUUCCAGAGCUGCAGUAAACCCAUCUCCAGGCCCCCGCCACCGGCCAACACUGCCCUUUGUGAGCUGCACAGAUGCAGUGGGAGGGAGAAUGUUGGUUGAAAUCCUGACAGACUUUAUGCUAAUUCACCAAAGAGCAUUUUAGACCAUACACGGACACUUAAUCGAGUGGGAAAGACAGCAGCGAACACGACAUUUAAUUAUGGGAAAGAAAAACGAAGUCUUUUACCCUGCAUUUGGCGUUCUCCCAACACACAGAGUUAAUUGUUAGGAGGGUAUAUUAGAAGGCAAUGAAGGAGAAGAUUGAAAACCCUGAUUAUACUGAGGUCCUGAAAAUGCUGAAUUUAUUGAAUUUCACAUGAGAAAACACAGUCUGUACUACACUGAGGGCUGUGGCAGCAGCCAGCUAAGAACUCAGGAGGUCUGUGUGUGCAUGUAAGAGGGGAACAAAGCACCCCAACUGCUUUAUGAGCCUCUGCCAACUGCUGGCCAAGCCCCACUGCAUCCCUAAAAUGGGGCAGGUCAAUCCACUCAUGUGGAUGCUCCUGGUGCUGGUGAUGCAUAAGGCCAGCACAUUUUUCAGGGGUUGCAUUUUCCUUUAGAAAAGGAUCUAACCAGGUAAAGUUGGAAAGUACAUUUCAUCUGUGACCUCUGUGUAGUGCAUUUAGUUGCAUUUGCCUAAAUUUGGCUAAAGCUUGAAGCAACAGCAAGCCCAAAAGCUUUGGCAAGCACUGGCACAGAUGCCCACGAGAUAACAAGAGUGGUGGUGGGGCUUGAUCAUGGAAAGAUCCAUCAGUCCUGGAUGCACCCAGAAGAGGGGGUGUUACCAGAACAGAAUCAACCAAAAUUCUCCCCCAAAAAUCCCCACUGCCUCCAACAGUUUGAUUCUUAGCCUGUCCUUGCAAUGUGGUGUUGUCCCUCAGCACAUUUCACUAUGAAUUUUUCAGUUGUGCCCUGAACCACAUAAAGUUUUAGCCCAUUUUUUCUUCAUGCCUCAUCAUGAGUGAGGGGCAGAAUUAUGACCCGAGGAUGUAGUCAUUAUAUCAUGACCUGUGGCCCAACAUAUCUCCCUGGGAAACUCCCCAGGCUGGGUCCCACAUAGGAAAAGUAGUGCCAGUAAUUGCCAAUUCCGUCAUGGCAUCAAGAAUCCCAUCUGCUUUUGCUGAAGUCAGUAGAAUUGUCUCUGC